AGUGGCGUAGCGGUCUAACGCAUCUCCCUGUGAAGGAGACACGGUCGUGGGUUCAAAUCCCGCCU
rnacentral:tRNA from 1 species